rnacentral:rRNA from 1 species
CCUACGGGAGGCAGCAGUGGGGAAUAUUGCACAAUGGGGGAAACCCUGAUGCAGCGACGCCGCGUGAGUGAAGAAGUAUUUCGGUAUGUUAAGCUCUAUCAGCCGGGAAGAAAAUGACGGUACCUGAUUAAGAAGCCCCGACUAACUACGUGCCAGCAGCCGCGGUCAUGCGUCAGGGGCACGCGUUAUCCGGAUUUACUGGGUGUAAAGGGAGCGUAGACGGCAGAACAAGUCUGGAGGGAAAUGCCGGGGCUUAACCCCGGAACUGCUUUGGAAACUGUGCAGCUAGAGUGCAGGAGAGGAAAGUGGAAUGCCUGGUGUAGCGGUGAAAUGCGUAGAGAUUAGGAGGAACACCAGUGGCGAAGGCGGCUUACUGGACUGUAACUGACGUUGAGGCUCGAAAGCGUGGGGAGCAAACAGGAUUAGAUACCCCGGUAGUC